UACGGGGGGGGCAAGCGUUGUUCGGAAUUACUGGGCGUAAAGGGCCAGUAGGCGGCCAACUAAGUCCGACGUGAAAUCCCAAGGCUUAACCUUGGAACUGCGUCGGAUACUGGAUGGCUUGAAUUCGGGAGAGGGAUGCAGAAUUCCAGGUGUAGCGGUGAAAUGCGUAGAUAUCUGGAGGAAUACCGGUGGCGAAGGCGGCAUCCUGGACCGACAUUGACGCUGAACGGCGAAAGCUAAGGGAGCAAACGGG
rnacentral:rRNA from 1 species